AACGAACGCUGGCGGCAGGCCCAACACAUGCAAGUCGAGCGAAGCCUUCGGGCUUAGCGGCGGACGGGUGAGUAACGCGUGGGAACGUGCCCUUUGGUACGGAAUAGCCCCGGGAAACUGGGAGUAAUACCGUAUGUGGUCGAGAGACGAAAGAUUUAUCGCCAAAGGAUCGGCCCGCGUUGGAUUAGGUAGUGGGUGGGGUAAUGGCCUACCAAGCCGACGAUCCAUAGCUGGUUUGAGAGGAUGAUCAGCCACACUGGGACUGAGACACGGCCCAGACUCCUACGGGAGGCAGCAGUGGGGAAUCUUAGACAAUGGGGGAAACCCUGAUCUAGCCAUGCCGCGUGAUCGAUGAAGGCCUUAGGGUUGUAAAGAUCUUUCAGUGGGGAAGAUAAUGACUGUACCCACAGAAGAAGCCCCGGCUAACUCCGUGCCAGCCGCCGCCGUAAUAC
rnacentral:rRNA from 1 species